GACACAGAUUACUAGUACUUUGUAUAAAAUAAAAGAACACUUUAGUUCACUGUAUAGCGAAUUUAAGUGUUCAGACCAUGAUAAUUUACUGCGUAAACGUCUGUGUACAGCUGUUCGCUAAUAAGCCCGUAUAGAUAGUUACGGCCCCUCAUGCAGUGAGCCGUAUCUUCUGAACGUCAGUCUAUUCAAUUGACAUUGUGGUUACAGCGGGCCUGUUUCCCAAAGACCUCUCGCCUUCACAUCCAGUUAUUCUGUUUACGAGGUGAAACGUAUUUAACCAGCGUACCAUAAGCUGACGAUUAUUUUUAGUUGCCACGCAAACCAGUCAUGCACGCCCUGAUCGUUUUCUCCGCCGUAAUCGCUGUUUGCUCUGCUGGCGUGCUAGGAGGUUACGGAAGUGGCCCCACUGUCGGAAAUUAUGGAGCAGCCAUCGCUGCUGCCCCCGUCGUCCCGAUCGCCAAGGCCGUUCCCGUUCUUGCCCCAGUCCCCGUGCAGGUAGGCGCUCUCCGUACCACUUCGUAUUCCACUAAAAUUAACCACGGAACCGUUGUUGGAAAGACUGGCAUUGCCGCCCCCAUUGUCUUUGCCGCCCCUGCCGCCAUUGCUGCCGUCCCAGCCGAUCUAAGAUACGGAGCUGGUCUUGGAUAUGGUAAAACCUGGUAAACAGACUGUUUAGAAAUAACCCGCCAGUCGUGAAUAAAAUUUACAGACUGACAAGGCUAACAAAACUUGUCACUUAUCAUAUUAGUAGAUCUUAUAGAUUCGGGUAAAACAUAGUACAUACCAUGUUCUUGACCGCCCAGCGAUAGAUACAGCAUUGAUUCGAUUUUUAUUAAAACAAUAUUGGACCUAGUAGAUUUGUCGUGCGCAGUUUGAAAUAAGCGACUUUGACUGACGUCGUCACUAAGUAAGGGAUACACGACACAUUCAGUUAUAAUAGCAAAAAAUAAAUACUGCACCCGCUAGUUUAUUAAAUAGGUCUUCUCUCUUUUACGGCUAUCAAGCAGCGAAAUUCAUCAGAAUUUUUUUUUUGUAAAUUAUCAGUAGAUGAGAGCUACCUGUUCGAUGGUCAACACGCUCUUCUUAAGACAAGAUUUGUUCUUAAAUCGUUGCUGUUUUAGUGUCGAGGUUCAAUAUAUUAAAAUUAUGAAGAAAUUAAUCAAGUCGUAGGAGAUUGACGAUGUCCAGGUUAGUAAGUUAAUGAAUAUAGCAUACUGAUAGUAAAUUGCCAUACCUAAUAACCAGUGUGCAAUACUGAAAAUUUGUAAGUCACUGUGACACUUUGAUAAUGAUAAAAGCAGUUGUCGUAUUCAAUAUAUAUUGCAAUACAUUGUCUUCCGCUGUAGUUGCUACCUGGAAAUAUUAACGCUACAGGCAUUUCAUGUUAUAUACGGAAAGUUGAAAAUACAUAUACCCUAGUUGAAAUAUUGCUUUGCUAUCAAUCGGUUAUCGAACUCAGUCAUCGAUUAAGACAUCCAAAGCUCAAUAUGGCACUAUAAACACAUAUAAAUAAGCCAGCACUCGCUUAGAAUGGCUCAUUUAUUAUUCUGCUAUGUGGAACUCUCAUAAUCGCUGUUUCUAGAGGCGACUACGGUUAAUGUUUCUAAAUUAGGCCUACGUAUGAAUCGCUUGCACAGGCCCGUAUCUGUUGAAAGUGACUAGUAAGUGCGACGCUCAACAAAUACCGGCUUACGGACCGAUACUGAAUAGCUGAAAAACGCUGAAUCCGUAUAUUGACUCUAUAUAAUUGCCACACUGAAAUACGGGCAGGUAAGCAUAAAUCUUCACUGCUACCUAAAUAGCAGCAUAAUUUCGAAGCGUCUGCUUGCCGAAACAAAUUGACAAACAUAAUUUUGUGAUUAUACUAACAGCUGCGCCCUCAGAGGACCACUGCGUCAAAAAGAAUAUGUAUGUGUUUCCAAGUGGUAAAUUUGAUUAGACACCCAUAGAGCUACGUAGCUUUGCAAACACCGUAUACAUUGUAAAGUAGGAAGUAAAAAACUGGAUUAUGGCAAGAAAUAAUAAUGUGAAUACCUAUGUGCGUUUCAAUAAAUUACAGCACUAUAACUUGAAGAGAUAA